UACGUAGGUGGCGAGCGUUGUCCGGAAUUACUGGGUGUAAAGCGCGUGUAGGCGGGAGGCCAAGUCUGUGGUGAAAUCGCUCGGCUUAACUGGGCGGGGUCCAUGGAAACUGGUCACCUGGAGGUCGGUAGAGGCAAGUGGAAUUCCCGGUGUAGUGGUGAAAUGCGUAGAGAUCGGGAGGAACACCUGUGGCGAAGGCGGCUUUCUGGGCCCUACCUGACGCUGAGACGCGAAAGCGUGGGGAGCGAACCGG
rnacentral:rRNA from 1 species